ACCAUGCUCUCCGUCCGCGUCCCGCUCGCCACCAUCGCGGACCAGCAGCAGCUGCAGCUCUGGCCACUGAGCCACUGAAGGGACUCAGCCUGGCGGACAAGGAGAACACGCCUCCGGCCCUCAGCGGGACCCGUGUCCUGGCCAGCAAGACCGCGAGGAGGAUCUUCCAAGAGCCCAGCCGAAACCUGACAUACCUGCCCCCGGCGUGGAGGAUGAACCACUCCUGAGAGAAAAGCCCCGUCGCUUUGUCAUCUUUCCUAUCGAGGAUCACGAUAUCUGGCAGAUGUAUAAGAAGGCCGAGGCUUCCCUCUGGACAGCUGAGGAGGUGGAUCUUUCCAAGGACAUCCAGCCCCGGGAGGUGCUGAAGCCGGAGGAGAGAUACUUCAUAGCUCAUCCGUUCUCGCUUUCUUUGCAGCCAGUGAUGGCCUAGUGAAUGAAAAUUGGGUGGAGCGAUUUAGCCAAGAAGUGCAAAUUACAGAAGUCCGCUGUUUCUGUGGCUUCCAAAUUGCCAUGGAAAACAUACAUUCUGAAAUGUACAGUCUCCUUAUUGACACUUACAUUAAAGAUCCCAAAGAAAGGGAAUUUCUCUUCAAUGCCAUUGAGACAAUGCCUUGUGUGAAGAAGAAGGCAGAUUGGGCCUUGCGUUGGAUUGGGGGCAAAGGGCCACCUAUGGAGAACGUGUUGUAGCCUUUGCCGCCCUGGAAGGACUCUUCUUUUCCGGUUCUUUUGCGUCAAUAUUCUGGCUCAAGAAACGAAGACUGAUGCCAGGGCUUACGUUUUCCAAUGAGCUUAUUAUCAGAGAUGAGGGUUUACACUGUGACUUUGCCUGCCUGAUGUUCAGACACCUGCUCCAUAAACGUCGGAGCAGAGAGUAAAAGAAGUAAUUAUCAAUGCUGUUAGGAUGGAACAGGAGCUCCUCACGGAGGCCUUGCCAGUGAAGUUUAUUGACAUGAACUGCACUUUAAUGAAGCAGUACAUUGAGUUUGUGGCAGACAGGCUUAUGCUGGAGCUGGGUUUUAGCAAGGUUUUCAGAGUAGAGAAUCCAUUUGACUUCAUGGAGAACAUUUCUCUGGAAGGGAAGACUAACUUCUUUAAGAGAGUAGGUGAGUGUCAGCGGAUGGGAGUGAUGUGGAGUCCUACAGAGAAUUCUUUUACCUUGGAUGCUGACUUCUAA